GCCCCCGUAGCUCAGCGGUCAGCGUUUGUCUUUGUCUUUCUUCAGCGUGUAUUCUCAUUCAGCGAUGUAUUUAAGACCAAGCGAAAGAUGUCGGUUCGAAUCCGACCGGGGUCA